UGAUACAGGAUAGACAUGAACAUUUAUAUCAAAUGCACAAAAAUUAGCAUUUUGUGGACAGAUUCCAUAAUUUUUUUAUCGUUCAUAAAAAAAAAAACCCCUCCACAUUCCAACUGCCCUUUCAACUUCUGAGCACCUCCGAAGGCGAUUGACAGCAAGUGCGUGUGGAGAAAUGAGCAUCCAUCCAUCCAUCUUCUACCGCUUAUCCGGGGCCGGGUCGCGGGGGCAACAGCUUUAGCAGGGAAGUCCGGACUUCCCUCUCCCUAGCUACUUCUUCCGGCUCUCCCUGGGGGACCCCGAGGCAUUCCCAUGCCAGCUGGGUGACAUAGUCUCUCCAGCGUGUCCUGGGUCUUCCUCAGGGUCUCCUCCCGGUGGGACAUGCCCGGAACACCUCGCCAGGGAGGCGUUCAGGAGGCAUCCGAAUCAGAUGCCCAUGCCACCUCAUCUGGCUCCUCUCGAUGUGGUGGAGAAGCGGCUCGACUCUGAGCCCAUCCCGGAUGACCGAGCUUCUCACUUUAUCUCUAAGGGAGAGCCCGGACACACUGCGGAGAAAACUCAUUUCGGCCGCUUGUAUCCGGGAUGUCGUUCUUUCGGUCACGACCCUUAGCUCGUGACCAUAGAUGAGGGUUGGAACGUAGAUCGACCGGUAAAUUGAGAGCUUCGCCCUUUGGCUCAGCUCCUUCUUCACCACGACAGACCGAUGCAACGUCCGCAUCACAGCAGACGCUGCACCGAUCCGCCUGUCGAUCUCUCGCUCCCUCCGGUCCUCACUCGUGAGCAAGAACCCAAGAUACUUAAACUCCUCCACUUGGGGCAAGAUCUCCCCACCGACCCGGAGGGGGCACUCCACCCUUUACCGACUGAGGACCAUGGUUUCAGAUUUGGAGGUGGUGAUUUUCAUCCCAACCGCUUCACACUCGGCUGCGAAACGCUCCAGUGAGAGUUGGAGGGCCUUUUUUGAAGGAGCCAACAGCACCACAUCAUCUGCAAAAAGCAGGGAUGCAAUACUGAGGCCACCAAAACGGAUCCCCUCAAUGCUUCGGCUGCGCCUAGAAAUUCUGUCCAUAAAGGUUAUGAACAGAAUCGGCGACAAAGGGCAGCCUUGGCGGAGUCCUACCCCCACUGGAAACGAUUCUUACUGCCGGCAAUGCGAACCAAACUCUGACAUUGGUGGUAUAGUGACCGAACAGCCCGUAUCAGGGGGUUCGGUACCCCAUACCCACGAAGCACCCCCCACAGAACACACCGAGAGACAUGGUCAAACGCCUUCUCCAAGUCCACAAAACACAUGCAGACUGGUUGGGCGAAUUCCCACAUACCCUCGAGGACCCUGCUAAGGGUGUAGAGCUGGUCCACUGUUCCACGGCCGGGACGAAAACCACACUGCUCCUCCUCAAUCUGAGGCUCGACUUCCUGACGGACCCUCCUCUCGAGCACCCCUGAAUAGACCUUACCAGGGAGGCUGAGGAGUGUGAUCCCUCUGUAGUUGAAACACACCCUCCGGUCCCCCUUUUUAAGAGGGACUACCACCCCGGUCUGCCAAUCCAGAGGCACUCUCCCCGUUGACCACGCGAUGUUGCAGAGGCGUGUCAACCAGGACAGCCCCACAACAUCCAGAGCCUUGAGGAACUGCGGGUGGAUCUCAUCCACCCCUGGGGCCUUGCCACCGAGGAGCUUUUUAACCACAUCGGUGACUUCAACAACAGAGAUAGUAGAGCCCACCUCAGGGUCCUCAGACUGCUUUGCCCAAGGAAGACGUGUUGGUGGAGUUGAGGAGGUCUUCGAAGUACUCGGCCCACCGGUUCACAACGUCCCGAGUCAAAGUCAGCAGCGCCCCAUCCCCACUGUACACAGUGUUAGUGGUGCACUGCUUCCCCCUCCUGAGACGUCGGAUGGUGGACCAGAAUUUCCUCGAAGCCGUCCGGAAGUCGGCCUCCAUGGCCUCACCGAACUCUUCCCACGCUCGGGUUUUAGCCUCGGCGACCACUGAAGCUGUGUUCCGCUUGGCCAGUCGAUACCCGUCAGCUGCCACUGGGGUUCCACAGGCCAUAAAGGCUCGAUAGGACUCCUUCUUCAGCUUGACGACAUCCCUUACUGCUGGUGUCCACCAGCGAGUACAAGGGUUGCCGCCACGCCAGGCACCAACCACCUUACGGCCACAACUCAGAUUGGCCGCCUCAACAAUAGAGGCACGGAACAUGGUCCACUCGACUCAAUGUCCCCCGUCUCCCCCGGAACAUGGGAAAAGCUCUGUCGUAGGUGGGAGUUGAAACUCCUUCGGACAGGGGAUUCCGCCAGACGCUCCCAACAAACCCUCACAAUACGUUUGGGUCUGUCAGGACGGACCGGCAUCUUCCCCCACCAUCGGAGCCUACUCACCACCAGGUGAUGAUCAGUUGUCAGGUCCGCCCCUCUCUUCACCCGAGUGUCCAAAACAUGUGUCCGCAAAUCCGAUGAUACAACCACAAGGUCGAUCAUCGAACUACGGGUGUCCUGGUGCCAAGUGCACAUAUGGACACUGUCCUGCCCACAGUAAAAGUUUCGGGCCAUUUCAUUAAUAGUAAUUUUGUUUAGAAUAUUGAUUAGUUAUCGCGGUGCAUUGUGGGUAGCAGAUGCCAUGUUUCAUCAGACGAGUCAUUACAGAAAGCCUGACCGUGGUCGUUGCAACUGUACCUCCUGAGUUAUAUUCCUUUCGUUUCACCUUCGAAAGCAAUGGCUUUUCACUCUACAAUUCAUUGAGCUGAUGUCACAGUUGUUCACUGUACGCCGUCAAGAAGACGUAAUAAAGGAGCAAGGCGCUCAGUUUCCUGGCUCAUGAAGAAAUGAGUUUGGCUUGCUUACUAUUAACAUUUAUAGUAUUUAACACGUAGCGAUAACAGUACAGUGAAAAGCCAUAUCAGCAGUUGAUGCAAGAUAGAACCACAACGCAGCGAUGGACAAUGCCCAAGAAGAAAUGGCUUACUCCGAAGCCAAAGCAUCAUCGAAGGCAUCAUCCAAACACUCAUCCAUAUUGUCCAGUGUACUGGAAGCAGCCAUCUUGGCAAGAGCCUCUGCAGAAGCUACAAAUGCUAAAGCUUCAUACAGGAAAAAACAAUUGGAAAUCAAGAAACAACAAGCAAAACUGGAAUUAGAAAAAGCAACAUUAGAGGCAGAUCUAGAUCUGCUGGAGAUGGAGAAGGAAGUGGCAGCCGCUACAGCGAAAGCUAGAAGCAGCUGUAGCGAUCGAACAUGGCAAAGCUGAAAGCGUCAAGAGUGCAGUCCCACUACAAGCAGUAAGAGAACGAACUAUGGAGUACGUGCAACACCAGACCCAGCUGAAGUCGCAAGUUCAACCGGCAAGGACACAAUUGUUCACCUCAAGGACACCCGAACAACACCGCUCUCCACCGGUACACAAGAAAACGUAUGUAAAGGAUGAAACACCUGACAUACCAAGAGACUAUGUGAAGCAUAGCUACCACGCUUCCCCCAAUAAUGAUCCACCCAUGGCAGACUUUACUAAGUUCCUUGCACGCAGAGAGUUAGUCACAACAGGGCUAUUUCAGUUUGACGACACCCCAGAAAACGCUAGAGCAUGGCAGUUGUCAUUCAUAAAUGCAACCGGAAAUGUUGGUCUCACAUGCAGUCAGAAGUUAGAUCUCCUAGUCAAGUGGCUCGGUAAAGAGUCCUCAGAAUACGAAAA